rnacentral:rRNA from 1 species
UGGGGGAUAUUGCACAAUGGGCGAAAGCCUGAUGCAGCGACGCCGCGUGGGGGAUGAAGGCCUUCGGGUUGUAAAGCUCUGUGAUCCGGGACGAAAGAGCCUGAGGUAAAUAGCCUAAGGAAGUGACGGUACCGGAAAAGCAAGCCACGGCUAACUACGUGCCAGCAGCCGCGGUAAUACGUAGGUGGCAAGCGUUGUCCGGAAUUAUUGGGCGUAAAGCGCGCGCAGGCGGCUUCCUAAGUCCAUCUUAAAAGUGCGGGGCUUAACCCCGUGAUGGGAUGGAAACUGGGAAGCUGGAGUAUCGGAGAGGAAAGUGGAAUUCCUAGUGUAGCGGUGAAAUGCGUAGAGAUUAGGAAGAACACCGGUGGCGAAGGCGACUUUCUGGACGAAAACUGACGCUGAGGCGCGAAAGCGUGGGGAGCAAACAGG